CAGUAACAGAAGGGCCACUCAGCGGUGCAACAUGUCCUCGUUUUUUUAUGCAAAAAUAUGCAGUUUACUGGCCAGAAGGCGGAGCAGCCAGCCAGUACAGCGUGUUUAUUGGCCAGAAAAUGUCAUUGACUGGCUAGGAAAAUGGCGGCCAACAUGCGUAAUGCGCGAGGACAGAAACUUCAAAGCUUCCGACAUAAGUGGCCCUUCUGUAUGGAUCUUUAUUCUGUGGUCUGGACGUUUUCCAUGCGAAUUUGUUCGCGCAAAUUUGUAUUAUGAGCUCUCGACUGG